rnacentral:rRNA from 1 species
UACGUAGGGUGCAAGCGUUGUUCGGAUUCAUUGGGCGUAAAGGGUGCGUAGGUGGCGCCGUAAGUCAGGUGUGAAAUUUCGGAGCUUAACUCCGAAACUGCAUUUGAUACUGCGGUGCUUGAGGACUGGAGAGGAGACUGGAAUUUACGGUGUAGCAGUGAAAUGCGUAGAGAUCAUGAGGAAGACCAGUGGCGAAGGCGGGUCUCUGGACAGUUCCUGACACUGAGGCACGAAGGCCAGGGGGAGCAAACGGG